AUUUUUAAUUUUAAAAAUUCAAACAAAACUAAAGUUUAUUUUUACAAAGCCCUGGAUCCUUCCUAAAUACGAAGUUUUAUAUCUGACUAUUUCUGUAAGGGAUCAUGAGCAAAGGAUUCCAAACUACACUUGACAUUUUUCAAUCGAAAAUGUAUAAAUAUAAAAAAAAAAGAAGAUGUGGUAUGAUGCCAAUGAGACAGUUCACCACAAGAGACCAAAAUGACACGGAAAUUAACGACUAUAGGUCAUCGCACGGCCUUUAACAAUGAGCAAAGCUCUUAAUUGCAUAGUCAGCUAUUAAAGACCCCAAAAUGACCAUGUAAAACAAUUCAAACAAGAAAACUAACGGCCGUAUUUACAUAAAAAAAAAAAUCAAAAAAUAAAUGAACAAAAAACUUAAAUGUAACACAUAAGCAAACGACAACCACUGAACUACAGGCUCCUAACUUGGGAAAGGCACAAACAUACAUAAUAUGACGGGG
rnacentral:lncRNA from 1 species